GCUGGGCAUGGUGGUGCAUGCCUGUAAUCCCAGCUAUUUGGGAGGCUGAGGCAGGAGAAUUGCUUGAACCCAGGAGGCAGAGGUUGCAGUGAGCCAAGAUCACACCACUGCACUCCAGCCUGGGCGACAGAGCAAGACUCUGUCUCAA
rnacentral:SRP_RNA from 1 species